GGUCUCCCAGUAAUGGAUAAGAAUUCACAGACUUUUAUCCUCAUCAUACUCUUAGGUAGGGAAACAGUAAUAUUCCUGUUUCACAGAUGCAAGACCAAGGCACUAAUGAGGAAAAGUCUAGAUCCAGUAGUUUCAAUAGCUUGCAAUUAAUAACUUAAGAUCAAAGAUGCUCUUCCCCAGACUACACUACUUUGCUAUUCUAUUUUGGAGGCAGCUAUGAAGUAUUCCCCAGAGCUCAGCUGCUGAAGUGCAAAGCCCCAAGAUAUCUUGGUGCUGUGUUGCUGGUCCUGUCAACACCGGUCUACACUCAGAUGAUGUUCCAGAAAAUAAUUUUUAACCCUCCCCCACAGCCUGUUGGCUAAGGGAUGUAACUUCUUGCCUGCUCUAUCAUCUUGUGCAUUGUGCUUCAGCUCAGUGGCCUGUUUUUGCAGCAAGGGGAUGUUAUCCUGUGCUACCGUGACCACCAGCAUUUGGGGAGAUGGAAGCUGCAUUUAAGGAUUCUGCCAGGCAAAAGAGAGAAGUGACCCUGGACCCUUCAGUUCAUAGCAGCAGCACCAUGACUUUUCCUUGUCACAGCUCAAAGGAGGAAGCAACUGCAUCUGCUACCCAGACUGCACGCUGCUAUUUCCAGGUGUGUUUUCCCCCUGCCAAACCUGCAGCAUAGGAAGCAAGCCCUGCCUGUUGCGUGGCUGGCUAAUCUCCUAUCACUCAUUCUUCCAUUCAGCAAUGUAGCAUUGUGUGUUCUGUGUUUGGUAUUGCUGAAAUAAAGAGCAUAACUCGAGACAGAGUACAUAUGCCUGAAGAUUUUCUAGAAAGCAUAAAC
rnacentral:lncRNA from 1 species